UUAAUUUUUAGAUAUAUUUUAGUCUUGUUGGCAAAAUUCUAUAUAAUUUUUUGCUAAUACAAGUUGAUUAAAAUAUAAAUCAGAGUCAUCCCCAUUGAUACCUAAAAUAUCAAUUAAUCAUUGUUCAUACCGUAAGUAGAAGAAACUUGAUGAGGUGGUGGGUCUUGGUUUGAGUACAUGUCGACGCGAAAAUAGAAAGAAAAAAAAAAAAAUAUCAACAGGAAACUUUGGCACCCAAUCUAAAUGAUAGCCACCUAACGAAAUAUGUGAACCGCGUUACUUUCAAAUAAACAAUUACUUAAACUGAAAAUAUUUU
rnacentral:lncRNA from 1 species